UGAGAUAAUGUCUGUCUUGGACGGGUCCAAGAUUCACUGGUCUCUUGCCGAUCCAAGCAAAAAGCUCAGACAAGUUGGGUUUGAUCCAUCCCGGUAGGCUGAUUGGGCUGGACUAACCCAAAGGGGACCACCGAGUACGUUGCCUGCCCAGUCUGAUCCGUUAAAAAGUCAUCAGACCGGUUCAAUAGUUCCAGGUAGACCUAAUUCGAGACAUUAGCAUCUUUGCUCUUGACUGUUGACUGAGACGAAGACUCUGUUUGCUUUGGGAAGACUUCUGGUAUUUGUUAAUUGUGUACCCAUUAGCGUCAGAAACGAUCCAUGAUAAAUUGAGGAGUUAGCAUCUUUGCUCUUGACUGUUGACUGAGACGAAGACUCUGUUUGCUUUGGGAAGACUUCUGGUAUUUGUUAAUUGUGUACCCAUUAGCGUCAGAAACGAUCCAUGAUAAAUUGAGAAGUUCAUCAACUGCCGGUACAGGUGGUGCCGGUCAAUAUUUGAUAAACUCCUCUCUGUCCUUCCUUCUCUACAAAUUCCCCAUCUUUCUCUCUUUCUUUUUCUUAACUCUCUCUAUAUUUCUUGCUGGGUCGUAAGAUAUUUUUUUUCUCUGGACUGAUCUUUAGCCUUUGAUGGUAAUCAGUCGCAAAACUUGAAUUUGUUUGAAGGGUCUGCUGUUGCCAAAUUUGGGUUCCGUUUUCAAGUUUGGCGGAGAUAAAUAUGGCACAACAUUCUCAUGUAGCAAAAUUUGGCAAUUGGGAAAGCGAAGACAAUGUUCCUUACACAGCCGACUUUGAUAGGGUUCGGAAGGGUCGAAGUGGGCAAGAGAUGAUAAAUUCUUAUGUACUUUCUGAUCAUGCUCCUCCAGCUCGAUAUCAUGCUUCUAAAGCCAAACCUAAGGAGGAAUCAGUGGGACGAGUGGCAGCUAAACAAAUGCAAGAACGCCAAAA